AUGCACAUCUGUUUGCUGUAUCCUAUAAACAAGGAGCAGGAGCUCAAGCAAACAGAACCACCAGAGCUGAAGCAACUGUUGGCUGAAUUCGAGGAUGUCUUUGGCGAGCCACACGGACUCCCGCCUCGACGUGCCUGCGACCACACAAUACCAUUGAUGCCAGGGGCACAACCGGUCAAUAUCAGAGCCUACCGCCACAAGCCUGAACUGAAGUCGGAGAUUGAGCAACAAGUGCAAGAAUUGCUACAGUCCAGAGUGAUCCAGCGAAGCCAGAGCAGUUUUUCUUCACCAGUCAUCCUCGUCAAGAAGAAGGACGGCACGUGGAGAAUGUGCAUGGACUAUCGCCAUCUUAAUGCGAUGACUCACGUCAGUAAAUUCCCGGUGCCUGUCAUUGAGGAGUUGCUCGAUGAGUUACACGGCGCGCGUUGGUUCUCCAAAUUGGACCUUCGCGCAGGCUACCAUCAAAUCAGACUGGCUGAAGGCGAAGAAUUCAAAACAGCCUUUCAAACUCACUCGGGCCACUAUGAAUUUAAGGUUUUGUCCUAUGGCUUAGCAGGAGGACCUGGUACCUUUAACGGGGCAAUGACAAAUACAAUGCAUCCCCUUCUGAGGUUCUAUGUACUGGUGUUCUUCGACGACAUCUUAGUGUUCAGUAAAACCUGGGAAGAACACUUGGACCACGUGUGCCAGGUCCUCACCUUGCUGCGUCGCGACCAAUGGAAAGUCAAUAAGUCUAAGUGUGAAUUUAGACAACAACAACUUUCUGAUAUAGGGCACGUCAUCAGCUCUCAGGGGGUAGCCACGGAUCCGAGCAAGAUACAGGCAGUUGAAUCAUGGCAAACACCUAGUGAUGCAAAAGAAGUGCGCCGGUUUCUGGGAUUGGCUGGGUAUUACCGCCGAUUCAUGCGAGGAUUUGGCAUCAUUGCCAGACCCCUUUUCAACCUGCUCAAGAAGGGUGUGCCGUUUGUAUGGACAGACAACACCAACCAAGCCUUCCUGCUCCUAAAACAACAACUAGCUUCUGCACCAGUGUUGGCACUUCCAGAUUUCAGUAAACAGUUUACUGUCGAAACAGAUGCGUGUGAUCGAGGCAUUGGAGCAGUCCUACAACAAGAAGGGCAUCCUAUUGCUUUCAUGAGCAAAGGCCUAAGCCCGCGUUACCAAGGGUUGUCCACGUAUGAAAAAGAGUACCUUGCCAUUGUGGUGGCUAUUGACCAAUGGUGCCCUUAUUUGCAACACAACGAGUUCAUCAUCUACACGGAUCAGAAGAGCCUCAUCCACCUGGAAGAGCAACGGCUGACUACCCCGUGGUAG
rnacentral:rRNA from 1 species